rnacentral:rRNA from 1 species
CCUACGGGUGGCAGCAGUAGGGAAUUUUUCACAAUGGGCGAAAGCCUGAUGGAGCAACGCCGCGUGCAGGAUGAAGGCCCUCGGGUUGUAAACUGCUUUUAUAAGCGAGAAAUAUGAUGGUAACUUAUGAAUAAGGAACGGCUAACAACGUGCCAGCAGCCGCGGUCAUACGUAGGAUCCGAGCAUUAUCCGGAGUGACUGGGUGUAAAGAGUUGCGUAGGUGGCGAAAUAAGUAGCUAGUGAAAUCUGGUGGCUCAACCAUUCAGACUGUUAGCUAAACUGUUAAGCUCGAGCCCGUUAGAGGUAACUGGAAUUUCUGGUGUAGGGGUGAAAUCCGUAGAUAUUAGGAGGAACACCAAUGGCGUAGGCAGGUUACUGGGACGGUUCUGACACUAAGGCACGAAAGCGUAGGGAGCAAACAGGAUUAGAUACCCUGGUAGUC